AUUGAACGCUGGCGGCAUGCCUUACACAUGCACGUCGAACGGUAACAGGUCUUCGGAUGCUGACGAGUGGCGAACGGGUGAGUAAUACAUCGGAACGUUCCCGAUCGUGGGGGAUAACGGAUCGAAAGCUUUGCUAAUACGGCAUACGAUCUACGGAUGAAAGCAGGGGACCGCAAGGCCUUGCGCGAACGGAGCGGCCGAUGGCAGAUUAGGUAGUGGGUGGGAUAAAAGAUUACCAAGCCGACGAUCUGUAGCUGGUCUGAGAGGACGACCAGCCACACUGGGACAGAGACAAGGCCAGGACUCCUGCGGGAGGCAGCAGUGGGGAAAUUUGGACAAUGGGCGCAAGCCUGAUCCAGCAAUGCCACGUGCAGGAUGAAGGACUUCGGGUUGUAAACUGCUUUUGUACGGAACGAAAAGGCUCUGGUUAAUACCUGGGGCUCAUGACGGUACCGUAAGAAUAAGCACCGGCUAACUACGUGCCAGCCGCCGCAGUAAAAC
rnacentral:rRNA from 1 species